CAGGGCUCUCUGCAGGUCGCCGGACGCCGGACACCAGUCCAGAGCAGUUCGAAAUAGAAAUGAAGAGAAAGAGGACUCUGCAUAGUUGGUUUGCAAGUAGUUCAAAUACACUUCCUAUUAUUCCUGAAUCCAAUGUUGCCCCAAUUAAUGUUAUUGUUCAGCCUACCCUCAUAGAGAACAUAAUCCCUGAUGAUCCAACAAAUGAGAGCACUAAUCCCUCGGUUGAUGAGAGAACUAAUCCCUCGGUUGAUGAGAGCACCAAUCCCACUUCAAAUGAGAGAACCAAUCCCCAACCGAUGAGAGCACAAACCAACCAGCACCACCAACACAAUAUAUAUUGGAAUUUCAUCCAAGAAAAAUCGCAAAGGACAUUUGCCUCCUGAGUAUGAUGUUAUUUCUUAGAGAUGGCUUGCAGUUUGUCACUUGCAUUUUGGUGUGGAGGAGUUCUACAACUACAAUAUUGUUAGUAAGAAGCAACACCAGUAUCUUGUCUUUGCCUUAUUUUGGUUGAUUCUCUAGUACUUG